UACGGAGGGUGCUAGCGUUGUUCGGAAUUACUGGGCGUAAAGGGCGCGUAGGCGGCUCUGUCAGUCGGGUGUGAAAGCCCGGGGCUCAACCCCGGAACGGCACCCGAGACGGCGGGGCUGGAGACCGGGAGAGGAGGGUGGAAUAGCCAGUGUAGAGGUGAAAUUCGUAGAUAUUGGCUGGAACACCGGUGGCGAAAGCGGCUCUCUGGCCCGGUUCUGACGCUGAGGCGCGAAAGCGUGGGGAGCAAACAGG
rnacentral:rRNA from 1 species